ACAGCUUGAUAUUCUUCAUUUACCCAAAAUUCAAAUUUGAACAGAUCAUGGGAUGAGCAUAAGUGAUAUCUCAAACCCUUAAAACUGACACAUUUUACCAAGCAAAAAGGACAGGUGAAGUCCUCUGUCACUUCUGUCCUCUGCAACUUAUUGUUAUAGUACAUAUAGUUGAAAACAACAUUUCCUGUCCUUAACCGUAUUAUUCGAGCCAAUGAAGUUGAAGGAAUGUCAUCAUAGGAGAAUGAAUCAUAUCGUGUUCUUUCUCUUGCAAAAGCUUCUUCCGAAGCAAUUUUAACUUGUAAUUGUUGUAUUGUCGCCAGAGCCGCAGAACUGCGGGGAUACUCAAAGCUAAUGUGUCUGUCUUUGUCCAAAGAGCUUGUCUUCAUGAAACAAGGGUUCAAGUCAACAGUCGACCACAUCUCAGCUCUCUCCCCUAAACUCAAAUUGGGAGACUUGUCCCACAACAAAUGAAGUAAUUCCAUCGGCAUUCUGCCCAACAAGCAGUGCCCUUCAA
rnacentral:misc_RNA from 1 species